rnacentral:tRNA from 1 species
GCCUUCAUAGUUAAAUGGAUAUAACAAGCCCCUCCUAAGGGCUAGUUGUUGGUUCGAUUCCAACUGAGGGUG